UACCUUGAUGAAUUCUCUCUUUUUCUCAGGCGGACUCCCAUAACGCAACAUAGACUUGGUUUUUGCCAUAACUGCUGGUGAGAGGGGUUGGGCCAGUUCCCCUCCCCCCAGUCUCCCAACCCUCAUCUGCCUCAGCUAAGCAGACUGCCGGUCCUUAAAUCGAAGACUCAUCCCUUUUCACCUUUUUGCCAUUCCUGCACCUUUUCUAGAAGAGAUAUCGAGAGGUCAUCAGAGAUCAUCCUUGAGAGGUGGCUUUUGUACUGAACUUGGCUCCAGGAUUGAAUUCCUCUAUAGAACAUGAAGAAAUGGAAUAGGU